UACGUAGGGAGCGAGCGUUGUCCGGAUUUAUUGGGCGUAAAGAGCGUGUAGGCGGCUAGAUAGGUCCGUUGUGAAAACUCGAGGCUCAACCUCGAGACGUCGAUGGAAACCAUCUGGCUAGAGUCCGGAAGAGGAGAGUGGAAUUCCUGGUGUAGCGGUGAAAUGCGCAGAUAUCAGGAGGAACACCAAUGGCGAAGGCAGCUCACUGGGACGGUAUUGACGCUGAGACGCGAAAGCGUGGGGAGCAAACAGG
rnacentral:rRNA from 1 species